UUGGAGGGCAAGUCUGGUGCCAGCAGCCGCGGUAAUUCCAGCUCCAAUAGCGUAUAUUAAAGUUGUUGCGGUUAAAAAGCUCGUAGUUGAAUUUCGGGAUCAGACUGUCGGUCGUGCCUCGGUACGCACUGGCAUUAUUGGUUCCUACCUUCUGAAGAACCGCGAUGUCAUUAAUUUGGUGUCGCGGGGAAUCAGGACUGUUACUUUGAAAAAAUUAGAGUGUUUAAAGCAGGCUUACGCUUGAAUACAUUAGCAUGGAAUAAUGAAAUAGG
rnacentral:rRNA from 1 species